rnacentral:rRNA from 1 species
GAUGAACGCUGGCGGCGUGCCUAAUACAUGCAAGUCGAGCGAACAGACGAGGAGCUUGCUCCUCUGACGUUUGCGGCGGAGGUGUGAGUAACACGUGGAUAACCUACCUAUAUGACUGGGAUAACUUCGGGAAACCGGAGCUAAUACCGGAUAAUAUAUUGAACCGCAUUGUUCAAUAGUGAAAUACGGUUUUGCUGUCACUUAUAGAUGCUUCCGGGCGGCAUUAGCUAGUUGUUAAGGUAACGGCUUACCAAGGCAAGCAUGCGUAGCCGACAUGAGAGGGUGAUAGGCGACCUGGGAACUGAGUCACGGUCCAGAGUCCUACGGGAGGGACCAGUAGGGUACCUUACGCAAUGGGCGAAAGCCUGACGGAGCAACGGAGAGUGAGAGACGAAGGUACUCGGAUCGUAAAGCUGUGUUAUUAGGGAAGAACAAAUGUCUAAGUAACUAUGCACGUCUUGACGGUACCUAAUCAGAAAGCCACGGCUAACUACGUG